rnacentral:rRNA from 1 species
UACGGAGGGGACUAGCGUUGUUCGGAAUUACUGGGCGUAAAGCGCACGUAGGCGGAUUUGUAAGUCAGGGGUGAAAUCCCGGGGCUCAACCUCGGAACUGCCUUUGAUACUGCAAAUCUCGAGUCCGGAAGAGGUGAGUGGAAUUCCUAGUGUAGAGGUGAAAUUCGUAGAUAUUAGGAAGAACACCAGUGGCGAAGGCGGCUCACUGGUCCGGUACUGACGCUGAGGUGCGAAAGCCAGGGGAGCAAACGGG